rnacentral:lncRNA from 1 species
CAUAAGUAAGAUCUAUUCAUAGUUGGUCAGUCCCCCACGGCAGGGCUUCUCGCUUUUCAUGAAUGUGUCUCCCCCUCUGCUUAUGUGAGUUUUACCCGCCUUUUACUCUGCUUGCUUCUGACUCCCUAUGAGCCCUUACUUUUUCGGAGGGUCGGCGGGACAUGGGAGCCUCAGCUCAUGCAUCGGUUUACCGAAAUAACCUCUUCUCUCCCACUUCCUUCUAUUCAAAAGGCGAGCAGCCCUUAAACAAAAAGGCCUAAGAGGGUUCUUCUUUUUAUAUAUUACAUAAGCCCUAAAGUAGGUAGCCCCGAAAGCCGAACUCAGCAGAGUGGGUUUUGGCGUGUAUCUCCCCCUCUACUUAUGUGAGUUUUACCCGCCUUUUACUCUGCUUGCUUCUGACUCCCUAUGAGCCCUUACUUUUUCGGAGGGUCGGCGGGACAUGGGAGCCUCAGCUCAUGCAUCGGUUUACCGAAAUAACCUCUUCUCUCCCACUUCCUUCUAUUCAAAAGGCGA